rnacentral:tRNA from 1 species
GGAGAUAUGGCUCAAAUGAUAGGGCGCCUGUCUACCAAAUAGGAAGCCCUGAGUUGAAACCCAUAUUGCCA